GACGAACGCUGGCGGCGUGCUUAACACAUGCAAGUCGAACGGAAAGGCCCUGCUUUUGUGGGGUGCUCGAGUGGCGAACGGGUGAGUAACACGUGAGUAACCUGCCCUUGACUUUGGGAUAACUUCAGGAAACUGGGGCUAAUACCGGAUAGGAGCUCCUGCUGCAUGGUGGGGGUUGGAAAGUUUCGGCGGUUGGGGAUGGACUCGCGGCUUAUCAGCUUGUUGGUGGGGUAGUGGCUUACCAAGGCUUUGACGGGUAGCCGGCCUGAGAGGGUGACCGGCCACAUUGGGACUGAGAUACGGCCCAGACUCCUACGGGAGGCAGCAGUGGGGAAUAUUGCACAAUGGGCGGAAGCCUGAUGCAGCAACGCCGCGUGCGGGAUGACGGCCUUCGGGUUGUAAACCGCUUUCGCCUGUGACGAAGCGUGAGUGACGGUAAUGGGUAAAGAAGCACCGGCUAACUACGUGCCAGCAGCCGCGGUGAUACGUANGGUGCGAGCGUUGUCCGGAUUUAUUGGGCGUAAGGGCUCGUAGGUGGUUGAUCGCGUCGGAAGUGUAAUCUUGGGGCUUAACCCUGAGCGUGCUUUCGAUACGGGUUGACUUGAGGAAGGUAGGGGAGAAUGGAAUUCCUGGUGGAGCGGUGGAAUGCGCAGAUAUCAGGAGGAACACCAGUGGCGAAGGCGGUUCUCUGGGCCUUUCCUGACGCUGAGGAGCGAAAGCGUGGGGAGCGAACAGGCUUAGAUACCCUGGUAGUCCACGCUGUAAACGGUGGGUACUAGGUGUGGGGUCCAUUCCACGGGUUCCGUGCCGUAGCUAACGCUUUAAGUACCCCGCCUGGGGAGUACGGCCGCAAGGCUAAAACUCAAAGGAAUUGACGGGGCCCCGCACAAGCGGCGGAGCAUGCGGAUUAAUUCGAUGCAACGCGUAGAACCUUACCUGGGUUUGACAUGGAUCGGGAGCGCUCAGAGAUGGGUGUGCCUCUUUUGGGGUCGGUUCACAGGUGGUGCAUGGCUGUCGUCAGCUCGUGUCGUGAGAUGUUGGGUUAAGUCCCGCAACGAGCGCAACCCUUGUUCACUGUUGCCAGCACGUUAUGGUGGGGACUCAGUGGAGACCGCCGGGGUCAACUCGGAGGAAGGUGGGGAUGACGUCAAGUCAUCAUGCCCCUUAUGUCCAGGGCUUCACGCAUGCUACAAUGGCUGGUACAGAGAGUGGCGAGCCUGUGAGGGUGGGCGAAUCUCGGAAAGCCGGUCUCAGUUCGGAUUGGGGUCUGCAACUCGACCUCAUGAAGUCGGAGUCGCUAGUAAUCGCAGAUCAGCAACGCUGCGGUGAAUACGUUCCCGGG
rnacentral:rRNA from 1 species